rnacentral:rRNA from 1 species
AAAUUGAAGAGUUUGAUCAUGGCUCAGAUUGAACGCUGGCGGCAGGCCUAACACAUGCAAGUCGAACGGUAACAGGAAACAGCUUGCUGUUUCGCUGACGAGUGGCGGACGGGUGAGUAAUGUCUGGGAAACUGCCUGAUGGAGGGGGAUAACUACUGGAAACGGUAGCUAAUACCGCAUGACGUCGCAAGACCAAAGAGGGGGACCUUCGGGCCUCUUGCCAUCGGAUGUGCCCAGAUGGGAUUAGCUAGUAGGUGGGGUAACGGCUCACCUAGGCGACGAUCCCUAGCUGGUCUGAGAGGAUGACCAGCCACACUGGAACUGAGACACGGUCCAGACUCCUACGGGAGGCAGCAGUGGGGAAUAUUGCACAAUGGGCGCAAGCCUGAUGCAGCCAUGCCGCGUGUAUGAAGAAGGCCUUCGGGUUGUAAAGUACUUUCAGCGGGGAGGAAGGGAGUAAAGUUAAUACCUUUGCUCAUUGACGUUACCCGCAGAAGAAGCACCGGCUAACUCCGUGCCAGCAGCCGCGGUAAUACGGAGGGUGCAAGCGUUAAUCGGAAUUACUGGGCGUAAAGCGCACGCAGGCGGUUUGUUAAGUCAGAUGUGAAAUCCCCGGGCUCAACCUGGGAACUGCAUCUGAUACUGGCAAGCUUGAGUCUCGUAGAGGGGGGUAGAAUUCCAGGUGUAGCGGUGAAAUGCGUAGAGAUCUGGAGGAAUACCGGUGGCGAAGGCGGCCCCCUGGACGAAGACUGACGCUCAGGUGCGAAAGCGUGGGGAGCAAACAGGAUUAGAUACCCUGGUAGUCCACGCCGUAAACGAUGUCGACUUGGAGGUUGUGCCCUUGAGGCGUGGCUUCCGGAGCUAACGCGUUAAGUCGACCGCCUGGGGAGUACGGCCGCAAGGUUAAAACUCAAAUGAAUUGACGGGGGCCCGCACAAGCGGUGGAGCAUGUGGUUUAAUUCGAUGCAACGCGAAGAACCUUACCUGGUCUUGACAUCCACGGAAGUUUUCAGAGAUGAGAAUGUGCCUUCGGGAACCGUGAGACAGGUGCUGCAUGGCUGUCGUCAGCUCGUGUUGUGAAAUGUUGGGUUAAGUCCCGCAACGAGCGCAACCCUUAUCCUUUGUUGCCAGCGGUCCGGCCGGGAACUCAAAGGAGACUGCCAGUGAUAAACUGGAGGAAGGUGGGGAUGACGUCAAGUCAUCAUGGCCCUUACGACCAGGGCUACACACGUGCUACAAUGGCGCAUACAAAGAGAAGCGACCUCGCGAGAGCAAGCGGACCUCAUAAAGUGCGUCGUAGUCCGGAUUGGAGUCUGCAACUCGACUCCAUGAAGUCGGAAUCGCUAGUAAUCGUGGAUCAGAAUGCCACGGUGAAUACGUUCCCGGGCCUUGUACACACCGCCCGUCACACCAUGGGAGUGGGUUGCAAAAGAAGUAGGUAGCUUAACCUUCGGGAGGGCGCUUACCACUUUGUGAUUCAUGACUGGGGUGAAGUCGUAACAAGGUAACCGUAGGGGAACCUGCGGUUGGAUCACCUCCUUACCUUAAAGAAGC